UUACGUCGCUUCAUCCGGAACCAGCUGCCCGCUAUCGUGUUGCGGUGCCGGUUUGAACGCGGAGAGUGGCCCUUCGCGCAUGCUUGUGCGGCGGGUUGAAGAAUCGUUUGCUUUCCUCCGGCCAUGUUUUGAUAAAUGGGUGGAUGUAUGCUGCCAUUUGG
rnacentral:rRNA from 1 species